AACAUACAAAAGAGGAUAGAGAGCAGAUUAGAGAGAGGGAGGAAUAAAAAAAGACUGGUCUGCUUCUCCUUCCUCCAUGAAAAUCAGUCCAAAAGUCUCUCAAAAUGCCACGUAAAGCUCUAAAAAGACUACAAAAAAACGCAGCCCAAAUCUCCCUCUUUAGUCAACUUCCUCAGCCUCUAAGCUCACCAAAAACCAGCUGAAAACCCAUCCGAAAUCAGCUCCAAAAUUUCUCAAACACCACUAAAACAUCACCACCCAAAUAGCAGCAAAAAACUGGCCAAAAUCCCGGUGAAACAACAAUCUCUUUUUAACAAAAUUAGCUGCUGCCGAACUUCUAAAUCCAGCUUAAAACUCGCCAGAAUUUUGGUCGAUAUUUCGAGUGAAGCUAUGGUUCCGGUUCAAAGUCCUGUUCGCGUUUUAUGCUCUAAAAUGGUUGCUGUUUUGGUCUUUGACAGCUGGACAAUCAUCAUAUAUGUACAAAACUUUGCUUGGAUUUCCCUCGUAAAUAAAGUUUGGUCUGAGGGCAGAAAAGUUUGUUCGUUUGUCUGUUUUGGUGCCUGAACAGGUUUUCACCGUGAGGCACAAAGUUUGAGAUUCCCAAAAGAAGAAGUCUCAACCCAAAUAAAAGAAAAGAAGAACAAGAAAAGAAGUUGAACUCUAAGUAUAAAAGCGGAGAAAGGAUGCGAACUGCCCAAGAUAUGAUUGAAGUCACAAGCUUUUCAUGUCCCGCCUUGAUCCGAAGAGCUGAAGAAAAAUGAACAUGCGUUUGCAGCUAACGAGCAUCAAAAUUCAGAUCGGAGUCUGCAAGAAGAACCAGCCAAGACUCAAGAUCAUGCUUCAGAAGAUUUAUCGAUAGGAAUCUUAUAACUCAUAGCUGAUAGGUUUAGUUAGUCUUUUUAUAUUUUGAUUUUGAUGUAAUAAAAGGACUACAGACUGGAGCCUCAACGGAACCUCACUUGACUCUCAAACUCAUCACUCCAUCAUCCUUCCAGAACUACACCGACCUAAUUCCUUUAUAGCCAA